rnacentral:rRNA from 1 species
GGAGGAAAAGAAACCAACAGGGAUUGCCUCAGUAACGGCGAGUGAAGCGGCAACAGCUCAAAUUUGAAAUCUGGCCGCAAGGUCCGAGUUGUAAUUUGCAGAGGAUGCUUUUGGCGAGGUGCCUUCCGAGUUCCCUGGAACGGGACGCCAUAGAGGGUGAGAGCCCCGUACGGUAGGACCACCGAGCCUCUGUAAAGCUCCUUCGACGAGUCGAGUAGUUUGGGAAUGCUGCUCUAAAUGGGAGGUGUACGUCUUCUAAAGCUAAAUACCGGCCAGAGACCGAUAGCGCACAAGUAGAGUGAUCGAAAGAUGAAAAGCACUUUGAAAAGAGGGUUAAAAAGUACGUGAAAUUGUUGAAAGGGAAGCAUUCAUGACCAGACUUGGGCUUGGUUGAACAUCCGGCGUUCUCGCCGGUGCACUCUGCCAGUCCAGGCCAGCAUCAGUUUGCCCCGGGGGAUAAAGGCGGUGGGAAUGUGGCACCCUCCGGGGUGUGUUAUAGCCCGCCGUGUAAUGCCCUGGGGUGGACUGAGGAACGCGCUUCGGCACGGAUGCUGGCGUAAUGGUCAUCAAUGACCCGUCUGA